ACGGCCAUAUCACGUUGAAACAUCGCUUCUCAAACGAUCACUGAUGCUAAGCAACGUCUAGCCUAGUUAGUACCUAGAUGGGUGACCGCUUAGGAAUACCGGAUACUGCAAG